rnacentral:rRNA from 1 species
ACGAACGCUGGCGGCGUGCUUAACACAUGCAAGUCGAACGGAAAGGCCCUGCUUUUGUGGGGUGCUCGAGUGGCGAACGGGUGAGUAACACGUGAGUAACCUGCCCUUGACUUUGGGAUAACUUCAGGAAACUGGGGCUAAUACCGGAUAGGAGCUCCUGCUGCCUGGUGGGGGUUGGAAAGUUUCGGCGGUUGGGGAUGGACUCGCGGCUUAUCAGCUUGUUGGUGGGGUAGUGGCUUACCAAGGCUUUGACGGGUAGCCGGCCUGAGAGGGUGACCGGCCACAUUGGGACUGAGAUACGGCCCAGACUCCUACGGGAGGCAGCAGUGGGGAAUAUUACACAAUGGGCGGAAGCCUGAUGCAGCAACGCCGCGUGCGGGAUGACGGCCUUCGGGUUGUAAACCGCUUUCGCCUGUGACAAAGCGUGAGUGACGGUAAUGGGUAAAGAAGCACCGGCUAACUACGUG